AUACGAAGGGUGCAAGCGUUACUCGGAAUUACUGGGCGUAAAGCGUGCGUAGGUGGUUCGUUAAGUCUGAUGUGAAAGCCCUGGGCUCAACCUGGGAAUUGCACUGGAUACUGGCGAGCUAGAGUGCGGUAGAGGAUGGCGGAAUUCCCGGUGUAGCAGUGAAAUGCGUAGAGAUCGGGAGGAACAUCUGUGGCGAAGGCGGCCAUCUGGACCAGCACUGACACUGAGGCACGAAAGCGUGGGGAGC
rnacentral:rRNA from 1 species